CCAGCUCCAAUAGCGUAUAGUUAAAGUUGUUGACAGUUAAAAAGCUCGUAGUUGAAUUUCGGGAUCAGAUUGUCGGUCGUGCCUCGGUACGCACUGGCAUUAUUGGUUCCUACCUUCUGAAGAACCGCGAUGUCAUUAAUUUGGUGUCGUGGGGAAUCAGGACUGUACUUUGAAAAAAUUAGAGUGUUUAAAGCAGGGCGCACGCUUGAAUACAUUAGCAUGGAAUAAUGAAAUAGGACGUUUGAUUUCUAUUUUGUUAGGUUUCUAGGAUCGACGUAAUGAUUAAUAGGGAUAGUUGGGGGCAUUAGUAUUCAAUUGUCAGAGGUGAAAUUCUUGGAUUUAUUGAAGACUAAACUACUGCGAAAGCAUUUGCCAAGGAUGUUUUCAUUAAUCAAGAACGAAAGUUAGGGGGAUCGAAGACGAUCAGAUACCGUCGUAGUCUUAACCAUAAACUAUGCCGACUAGGGAUCGGAUGAUGUUAAUUUUUAAUGACUCAUUCGGCGCCUUACG
rnacentral:rRNA from 1 species